rnacentral:rRNA from 1 species
UACGGGGGGGAGCAAGCGUUGUUCGGAUUUACUGGGCGUAAAGGGCGCGUAGGCGGCGCAACAAGUCACUUGUGAAAUCUCCGGGCUUAACCCGGAGCGGCCAAGUGAUACUGUCGUGCUAGAGUGAUGUAGGGGAGACUGGAAUUCCUAGUGUAGCGGUGAAAUGCGCAGAUAUCAGGAGGAACACCGAUGGCGAAGGCAGGUCUCUGGGCAUUAACUGACGCUGAGGAGCGAAAGCAUGGGGGAGCGAACAGG